CAACCCUCAGGUGCAGAUUUUAAGCGUCUUCAAACUUAAACAAGAAGAGAGAGCUAAACAAAUCCCUCUUGAUUCAAUCAAAUACCUCUUUCCAGCCAGCGGGAGUAACAGGCUUUGGGUGUUAGAUGGCUGGCCUGAGUGGAUUAAUAACUUGCUUUGUCUUAUCAGCCGAGUUUCAUCUAGAAAUAAAUCCCACCUGAUCUCUGCGAACAUGGCACGGAAUGAUUCCAGAGAGCACGGAGGACGAGAUGCUCACGCUCUGUGUGGUGCAGGAAGGGCUGUGGGCUGGCCUGGGGCCGUGAGGUCGGGGCUGGGACUUUGCCAUGACAGCAGCACGCUGAUGGAGCGAGACACGAUGUGGGGAGAAAUCCAGCAGAGACUUCUUUUCUCCCUCACUCAGACUUCCACCUCAAGGCUCGAUUUCCACGGUGCCUCCCAUGGGAAAUUCCAUGGAAAAAUAUCAUUUCUCUCUGUCCAAAUAGAAGGGAUGAUUUUCUUGUCAGUCUCCAAAUUGGCCUCCUUGGGACCACGCUCUGAGAUGGUGAUGUCUACAUUACGGAAUAGAGACAACUCUCACCUUACCAAAACAGAGAAGGAAAGAAAAAUGGUGGUUAAUAGAAUCUCUCUUCUCAAAAAACAAACAAACAAACAGAACAAAACAAACAAAAACAUUACAAAAAAUCCUACAGACAGAGAGCCCUCAGACUGUGCCAUUCCUUAGGGUUUCAGCUCAGACUUCUUCAGGGACACUCCAACCUGAUUAAACUCCUAGGGAGACGCAGUUCAGAAAUUUAAUAGCCAAUACAGAUAUCAUAAAAGCCUGACUGUUGUUUGUGGUCAACGGUGCAGUUUUCUUUGAGCAGUGAGGAAGAGAAAUGUGUCUGUGUGUGAUGGAGAGUGGCAAUCAGUACUAAGAUGUGCACCCAGUUUGUUGGGAAAAGUAAUGGGAUAUAAAGGAAAGCAGGAGCAGAGUGAAGGAAGCACAGAAGAGCUGAUGGGAAGCCCCUGAGACUCAGAGGCAAUCUCUGUUCUCCCUUGCCAGCAUGCUGCAGUGUGAUGGAUAAGCGUCUAAAACAUGGGAAAACCUGAAGCAAGGAAGCACUCCUAUCCCUGAUGAAGAUGCAUCAUCACUGGGCUUGGUUCAAAAACCAUUAAAGCUUCUGAGUGGUUCCAGUGGGAAUGAGAACAACCCUUUUUCUGAAGAAAUAGAGGAGGGCUGUCGAUCAUCGUUCUGAAAAACCCUGCAAGUGAUGGACUGUGUCACUGUGAGCCGUGGAAUCGUCACUCCUUCCUCUUGGUUGGGGAGGCAUUGCAGAGUGGUGAUAAGCUGGGGUCAGAGCUGGUGGAGAUUGGAAACUAAAAAAGGACAUAAAUCUGGGAUGGGAUAGAAGUGGGGAAGGUGGAUCCUUGAAUAGAGAGCUGUCCAUUGACACAUCACUCAGUGGUCCCUCUUGCUGUUUUAAGCAGCACAAGCAAAAUCCUAUGGGCCACUCCAUAGCUGGGAAAGCUGCCGUUGAGAGCUGCCUGAAUAAGGGAUGAGCCUGGGCUGAUGUCCUCAGCAUAAUCCAGCCCUCCUGGAUGUGACUGAGGGAUGUGGAGGAGGCGAAAGACACUUGAAACAAGAUAGCUUAAAACCAUUUUGUAUCUAAUUUGCAGCAAAGUUUUCUUUCAUCAUUUCCCUCUCUUUCCGCCCCAACCUCCCUAUUUGUCUUAUCAAAUCUUGGCAGAGAUAGCUGUGCGGAAUAGGGAGCUGCUGUUGGGAAGCAGUUUUUCCAGCGGGGUAAUAAAGCAGUCUUACUGCAAUGAAUUUUAAAGGCUGUUUUUGCUGCCUCAAGAAAUGCUGAUUUAUGACUUGAAUGAGUCAUGCUUUUUGCAAUUAGCAGGACACCGUCUAGAACUCACAGAGCAUCUUAGGCAGAAAUAGACAUUGUCUCUUCUUUUUUUUCUUCCCCUGUUAUUUUUCUAUUUUACUUUCAUUCAACCACCAAGUGAAAUACUCUCCAGGAAAAAAGAAGCUUUGGCAGCCAGGCUAGGACAACUCUCAAUUUUGCUUCGGAGUUGAAAACAUUAUCCAGUAUGGCUCUCCAGGAAAAGAUAAACUCAUGGGCAGGUUGGUAUAUUUGAUUGUAUCAUCUGUUGUAUCCCUAUGGGCAAAUCCAUAAACCUCAUCCUAGGACAUCAGGAAAUUCAGCUGCAAUACUCACUAAUAGAGCAAUUGCAAAAAUGGUGACGUCAAAUGUUACAUUACCCUAGAUCUGAGUAGCUCCCUACGUUAUAUAGCAUUAUCAGAUACAGUGGCAGACAAUGAGAUUGGCCUGAAUGCCGCACAAUUCAUUAAGCAAACUAGUUUUCAUCUCAAGGCAUUCAGAUCUGUCACAUUUCUUUUAAUGAAACCCUGAUUUUUUUUAAUAAAAAUGCUUAGCAAAAAUAGAAUUUCAAUAAUGAAUCUGAUAACAUAUUUAAGCAGAUAUCAAUUAAAAUUUUCAUUAUAAGGGAUGGCUUUCCUUGAAUUUUUCACAAGCUGUUGAAAUUUUAAUCAGUCAUUAAAAAUAAUACUUUUUUGGGGGGUGAGUGGGGAGAGGGAGGAAAUAACAUUCAAAGGUUUAGAGAAGAGUUAUGUAUAAAACCUGAAACAUGAUAAAACCUGCUUGAGACCUUCAUAGCCUAAAGGACAUCCACAAGGUUACACAUCUCUGUACUAACAUUCUUUGAAGCAUGGAAAGACAGUUUCUACCUCCCUCUCAGGAUUUCUCCUGUCCCAUUUUGGGAUGGGAAGGAAGGCAACAGCUUGCUAUUUUCCCAAGGACAGAAAUUCUGAAUAUAACUGAGUUUUACUGAAUGCCGUGAAAGAGAUAAUCAAGGCUACAAUGACCUCUUCAUACAUUGUGAGCAAGUUCAACACUUAUCAGAUCCAUCAGAAAAAUCCAGCUUUGAACAGGGCUCUGCUCUCACUAAUAGAGUUCUCUUGAGUUUUCUAUUAAAACAUUUCCAUUAAUGCUCAGUGCUUGUAUUUCUAAGAGAUACCACUGGAAAUGGAGGAAAACGUAGAGUGAAA
ensembl:lncRNA